GGUUAAGCGACUAAGCGUACACGGUGGAUGCCUAGGCAAUCAGAGGCGAUGAAGGACGUGCUAAUCUGCGAUAAGCGUCGGUAAGGUGAUAUGAACCGUUAUACC
rnacentral:rRNA from 1 species